rnacentral:lncRNA from 1 species
GAUUGUGGUGGUGGAGCUAAUGACAUGUGUGCAGAAACUCUUCUGAAUGGGACUUCCCUGAUCCUGUUUUUACCUGAUCUUCAUGCUCAAUAGAAAAAGCCUCAGCUUUGGAAUCAGCUUCCCAGUGAACACCGAGAGUUGAGUUUAGCAACUGUUUGGACUGGCCAUGUAACAGGGCCGUCCAGGUAGCAUGGCAUGGUACUGGAACACUAUGUCUUCUCUCUGACCUCUCGGAAUAUCUCUGUGAUUCAAUGUGUUGGCCCAUUGGAGGCCCUGGCCAGGAAUAUUUAAGGAUUCCCAUUGUUUCACACUCUUGACAGCACUUGGUAUUGUCAGACUUCAACACAA